ensembl:lncRNA
UCUCCCCUUCUCUCUGUCUUUCUCUCUCCCUCUCUCUCUCUCAGUACCUCUAAAACAAUCUGUUCCCAAAGGUAGUAUACGGUCUGUCUCAGAAUACAACUGCCAUUUGGGUGCCAUUUGGGACAAUACCCUAGAUAUAAAGGCAGGCAGAUGAUGAACCUGUACUGUUAGUGGAGGUUAAUGGGACUGUACUGUUCGUGGAGGUUACUGGGACUGUAGUGGAGAUUACUGGGACUGUAGUGGAGGUUACUGGGACUGUACUGUUAGUGGAGGUUACUGGGACUGUACUGUUAGUGGGGAUUUAUUUUUUAUUUUUUUAUUUUACCUUUAUUUAACCAGGCAAGUCAGUUAAGAACAAAUUCUUAUUUUCAAUGACGGCCUAGGAACAGUGGGUUAACUGCCUGUUCAGGGGCAGAACGACAGAUUUGUACCUUGUCAGCUCGGGGUUUGAACUCGCAACCUUCCGGUUACUAGUCCAAUGCUCUAACCACUAGGCUACCCUGCCGCCCCCAGAUAAAUGGGACUGUAGUGGAGGUUACUGGGACUGUACUGUUAGUGGAGGUUACUGGGACUGUAGUGGAGGCUACUGGGACUGUAGUGGAGAUUACUGGGACUGUAGUGGAUAUUACUGGGACUGUAGUGGAGAUUACUGGGACUGUAGUGGAGGUUACUGGGACUGUAGUGGAGGUUACUGGGACUGUAGUAGAGAUUACUGGGACUGUAGUAAUUUCAGCUCUGUAGUGCAGCGCUAGUGGAAAGUCAGGUGGAAUUGUAUUUAUUUUUUAUUUUACUCGCAAGGCAGUUAAGGACAAAUUCUUAUUUUCAAUGACGGCCUAGGAACAGUGGGGUUUAACUGCCUUGUUCAGGGGCAGAACGACAGAUUUUUACCUUGUCAGCUCGGGGGAUUCGAUCUUGCAACCUUUUGGUUAUUAGUCCUACACUCUAACCACUAGUCUACCUGCCGCCCCUACACUCUAACCACUAGGCUACCUGCCGCCCCAAUGAAAUCCAGUAGGAAAGGUCUAACCUCAGUAAACUAACUGAAGACUGAAUAGUUUCUGUAAAUGUGUUAUCUAGCUAUAGCAGCUGGCCUUGUCCUCUCCUCACACGGUCCUUUAAUCUAAAGAGACAACAGCCACACAGCAUGUUGAUUACUUACACCAGAUGUUGCAGGAAUACCCCCCCCUCCCCCCCUGUUGAGAGAUAUUACAGUUCAAUUGAACUGAAUUGAGUGUAGUCCAUCAGAAAUCCAACCUGGCCACCUCUAACUGAUUAGGACUAAGAUACACUAAACUCAAAAAAGGAAAAGUUGCACCAACUCAAAAACAAAACAAACAAAACAACCCGAAGAAGCAGCAGAAAACGUGGUUGGAAGAUUGGUCCACUUGUAUUUACCAUCGUUGUUGUUUUUCUUCAUACUGCUUUUUGAACGUUGCAGUAGGAACAAUUGAAGACAUUGACAUCAACAAUUGACAUCAGUAGUCACGCUUGAUUGAGGUUAUUCAUUAUGCAGUAGUUAGGUUGUGAAGUAGCCGUAGUCCAAUGAUAAGUUCUCUCUCUCUCUCUUCCCGAGAAGGUAAGUCUUUCGGUCAAGUUGUCUCAAUUGCUGCUGCCAGUGGAGAUGGAGGUCAGUGAUCCAUCUUUACCCUCCCUUUCCACUGCUUUCUUCUUCGUCUCAUCUUUGAAGAAGAGGAGCGGGAACAUCCCUAAGAUGCAGCCGAUGGCAACUCCGAUGGCUUUACC